rnacentral:rRNA from 1 species
UUGGUUAAGCUAUUAAGAGCACACGGAGGAUGCCUAGGCGCCAGGAGCCGACGAAGGACGUGGCGAACAACGAAAAGGCCUCGGGGAGCUGUAAGCAAGCUUUGAUCCGGGGGUGUCCGAAUGGGGAAACCCGGCUGUGGUAAUGCACAGUCACUUCCAUCUGAAUUCAUAGGAUGGUUAGAGGCAGACCAGGGGAACUGAAAC